rnacentral:rRNA from 1 species
UACGUAGGGGGCAAGCGUUGUCCGGAUUUAUUGGGCGUAAAGAGCGUGUAGGCGGCCAUACAGGUCAGCUGUGAAAACUCGAGGCUCAACCUCGAGACGUCGGUUGAAACCGUAUGACUAGAGUCCGGAAGAGGAGAGUGGAAUUCCCGGUGUAGCGGUGAAAUGCGCAGAUAUCGGGAAGAACACCCGUGGCGAAGGCGGCUCUCUGGGACGGUACUGACGCUGAGACGCGAAAGCGUGGGGAGCGAACAGGAUUAGAUACCCUGGUAGUCCACGCCGUAAACGAUGGGUACUAGGUGUGGCGGGUGUCGACUCCCGCUGUGCCGAAGCUAACGCAUUAAGUACCCCGCCUGGGGAGUACGGCCGCAAGGCUA